rnacentral:rRNA from 1 species
UCUCGCAUCUGGUUGAUCAGUGGCGAACGGGUGAGUAACACGUGAGUAACCUGCCCUUGACUCUGGGAUAACUCCGGGAAACCGGGGCUAAUACCGGAUACGAGACGCGAUCGCAUGGUCGGCGUCUGGAAAGUUUUUCGGUCAAGGAUGGACUCGCGGCCUAUCAGCUUGUUGGUGAGGUAACGGCUCACCAAGGCGUCGACGGGUAGCCGGCCUGAGAGGGCGACCGGCCACACUGGGACUGAGACACGGCCCAGACUCCUACGGGAGGCAGCAGUGGGGAAUAUUGCACAAUGGGCGAAAGCCUGAUGCAGCGACGCCGCGUGAGGGAUGAAGGCCUUCGGGUUGUAAACCUCUUUCAGUAGGGAAGAAGCGGUUGGGUUCUCCUAGUCGUGACGGUACCUGCAGAAGAAGCGCCGGCUAACUACGUGCCAGCAGCCGCGGUAAUACGUAGGGCGCAAGCGUUGUCCGGAAUUAUUGGGCGUAAAGAGCUCGUAGGCGGUUUGUCGCGUCUGGUGUGAAAACUCAAGGCUCAACCUUGAGCUUGCAUCGGGUACGGGCAGACUAGAGUGUGGUAGGGGUGACUGGAAUUCCUGGUGUAGCGGUGGAAUGCGCAGAUAUCAGGAGGAACACCGAUGGCGAAGGCAGGUCACUGGGCCACUACUGACGCUGAGGAGCGAAAGCAUGGGGAGCGAACAGGAUUAGAUACCCUGGUAGUCCAUGCCGUAAACGUUGGGCACUAGGUGUGGGGCUCAUUCCACGAGUUCCGCGCCGCAGCUAACGCAUUAAGUGCCCCGCCUGGGGAGUACGGCCGCAAGGCUAAAACUCAAAGGAAUUGACGGGGGCCCGCACAAGCGGCGGAGCAUGCGGAUUAAUUCGAUGCAACGCGAAGAACCUUACCAAGGCUUGACAUACACCGGAAUCGGCCAGAGAUGGUCGCGUCUUCGGACUGGUGUACAGG